AAACGAACAAACCUAUUUAAGCAUUCCUUACAACUAGACGUUAAAGUGCACUAGUUUUUUUUUCCGGUGCAAAAACUCGGAAGCCGUCGGGUAUUGUCGGCGGUACUUCGUUCAACUUGUUCUAUUUCUCUAGUGUGAUAACUGAUAACUCUCCAACUCUGUUCUGCUUUAUAAAGUUCGCGGUGAUUUUGCCAAUAAUCUUCGCCUCUGUACGUAGUGACAGUGGUUUUUCAAUCCACAUCAACUAUCAAGUAAGUUCAUACGAACAUCAUUAGUAUUAGGCUUUAGUUUUGGAUCAAGAAACCGAAAAAUACUUGACAUCAAAAAUUUGAAUUUGAAAAACUAGUGUCGGGAAGAUUAUCAUCAAAUAAAAAUAAUAAAAUCAUCACACUGACAAAACAUUGGGAGCCUUCGGGAACUGGGAAGAACAGAAAGAUGACGAACUGACGAUCAAAUGAUAAAUACAAGUUGAACGAAGUACCGCCGGCAAUACCCGACGGCUUCCGAGUUUUUGCACCGGAAAAAAAAACUAGUGCACUUUAACGUCUAGUUUCCUUACAUACAUUUCAGCAACGCUAAAUUUUUCUCCACUCUGAUUGGCUCUCGCGUUCAUGCACGAUCUCACCCGACACCCGCCGAACUCCUUAUCAUCAUUGCCAUUUUUGAACUUACAAAAAUUUUCAAGCUCACAUCGAAACUGCAGCAUUGUAAACCCUUCAGAUUAUCGCAAAUUACAUCGGAAAUAGACAAUGCAGAAAUGGAGCCCAUUAUAUUUCAGCCACAAAAUUAAAACUGAUGAUUUACCGCCCAAUAGUGUUAUCGUUUCCAAUGUUGUUGCUGUAUGCGAAAUUCGAUGCGCGAUAAAGGAAUAUAUUUUAUUUGUUGAUUUUGGUCACUUUGGUGAUUAUUUAGUUUAUGUUGUAAAUCUGAGUCAUUAUUUUAUGAAAUUUCGUACCUAAGUGAAUGAAGUUACUGUUUACUGUAAUGAGAGCAAAACCAAAAGCUACCAAAAGCAUUAUAACUAUAAAAUAUUUCAUUUUGUUGAUUAAUCUAAGCUAAGCCACUAAGGCAUAUGUAUUCGAUAAUUUUUUUUGUUUUUGUACCUUUUGCAUAAUAAAAUAUGGUCAUUUAGAUCGUAAA